GACGAACGCUGGCGGCGUGCCUAAUACAUGCAAGUAGGACGCAGUUGCGAACGGGUGAGUAACGCGUAGGUAACUACCUAUUAGAGGGGGAUAACUAUUGGAAACGAUAGCUAAUACCGCAUACUAGUGGAUGGCCCUUCGUUGUAUUAGCUAGUAGGGAGGGGAAUGGCCUACCUAGGCAACGAUACAUAGCCGACCUGAAAGGUGGAUCGGCCACACGGGUAAGUAGACACGGGCCAGACUCCUACGGGAGGCAGCAGGUGGGAAUCUUCGGAAAUGGGGGGAACCCUGAACGAGCAACGCCGCGUGAGUGAAGAAGGUGUUCGGAUCGGAAAGCUCUGUUGUUAAGGAAGCGGUACUUAAACAGAAAGGGACGGCUAACUACGUGCCAGCAGCCGCGGUAAUUC
rnacentral:rRNA from 1 species